GUCAGGUCUGUGGAUGGGGUGAGGUCACCAGGAUGAGGUCACAAAGGCAUUGAUGCCCCUUUGUCCUAUCAUGUGACCACUUGUCACACUUCCAUCAAACAGUACCUGCCCCUUAGGUGUGCUAGGGAAUAAAUGAAAUGCCUGGGACAUCAUCGUUAAGUGGCAUCUGAUGCAUAAGCAGUGCCCUAGGAAUGGGGUUGCCUGCCUUGGUCUCUAAAGGAUGGGUUCAAAAGGCAAGAGCAGCACACAAGAAGAUAGCUUCAAGCAGGAGAUAAAGCUUGGCCCAGGGCCCAAAGGGGAUACGACCCUUCAGGUUGGCCCUGACCUCUGGGUUGGAUUACCAGUGACACAAUGAACAUUUCAUUAUGAGGCCAUCCCUUGAGCAAACUGACAUGCUGAAAGCUGCCCUAUGGAGAGGCUCAUGUGGCAAGGAACAGAGGGUGGCUUCUGGCCAACACCCAGUGAGGAACUCAGGCCCUCAGUCAAACAGCCUGCAAGGAACUGAACCCUGCCAAUAACCAGGCAGUGUCAGCCCCCGGCCAAUGACCACCAUGGACCUCCCUGUAGUUGAACAAAGUUGGGUUUGCUGACUGGUGGCAGUGAGGGAGAAUGCACACCACAGGGAGCUGUGCAGUGUCUCAGUAAGAAGGAGCCAUCCCGUGAGGCCGUUACUGCAAACAAGCUGAAAAUCCUGCUUUGUUUCUUUUGGACACAACAUGCUUUCCUUCAGCUUCAGUAGACGAUGAGGCCAGCACCACAUGGGCUAGAUGUACAUGAGAUGUGAGCAACCACACUUCCCCUCUGACGGGGACAGACAGCAUCACAGGACAUGAAGUUCUAAGAGGUUCAGUGACUUGUCUAAGAUUAAACAGCUAUGAAUGGAGAACUGGAGGCAAAUGAGGAUUCCCCAUUAAUGCCAUGAGUUCACUGCAGAGGUCAACACUGGGCAUACACUUCAAUCAUCCAUAAAGAAAAAUGGAGGCCUCAUCAUCUCUCACCUGGGCAACUGCAACAAUGAGCAGUUUGUGUCUGUGCCUGCAUCCAUCCUUCCAUCCUGUACUCCAGCAGCAGCCAGGGUGGUCUUUCAAAAAUGCAAAGCUGAUAAUGUUACUCCCCUGCUGUAAACCUUCCAGCGGUUUCCUAUUGCCUUCAGAAUAAAAUACGAAUCAUCUGGCCUCCAUCUAUCUCUCCAGGCUCAUCCUCUCUCAAUUUUCCAUAUCCUUCAGGCUGAGCUCUGAAACUUCUCCUGGCAGUUCAAGAGAGCGAUGGAGGGAAUGCUGGGGCACAUCUAAAUAAAGCCUCCAAGUGGGAGUUCCUGCUCAGCUAUGCAUGAGCUCUUUGUGACUUCAUCUCCCAGCCUACAACUUGUGAAAUAAGCACGACUUCACUCAGAGCACAGCCAGAAACAUACAAACUUUCCAAAAAUAUUUGAAUGUUGACAGCAGACUGUCUUGCAUUCCAGUGAAUAAUUGGUUUGUAUGAGUGUGUGUG
rnacentral:lncRNA from 10 species